rnacentral:rRNA from 1 species
AGGGUUCGAUUCUGGCUCAGGAUGAACGCAGCGACAGGCUUAACACAUGCAAGUCGAGGGGCAGCACGGGAGUAGCAAUACAACUGGUGGCGACCGGCGCACGGGUGAGUAACGCGUAUGCAACCUACCUAUCAGAGGGGAAUAACCCGGCGAAAGUCGGACUAAUACCGCAUAAAACAGGGGCACCGCAUGGUGAUAUUUGUUAAAGGAAUUCGCUGAUAGAUGGGCAUGCGUUCCAUUAGGUAGUUGGUGAGGUAACGGCUCACCAAGCCGACGAUGGAUAGGGGAACUGAGAGGUUGGUCCCCCACACUGGUACUGAGACACGGACCAGACUCCUACGGGAGGCAGCAGUGAGGAAUAUUGGUCAAUGGGCGAGAGCCUGAACCAGCCAAGUCCGCGUGAAGGAAGAAGGAUCUAUGGUUCGUAAACUUCUUUUGCAGGGGAAUAAAGUGCGGGACGUGUCCUGUUUUGUAUGUACCCUGAGAAUAAGGAUCGGCUAACUCCGUGCCAGCCGCCGC